UGAUUCGGGUUUAAGAACAUGGGAUGG
rnacentral:piRNA from 1 species